rnacentral:tRNA from 3 species
GUUAAUGUAGCAAAACCUGGACUUGCAGAAGAUCUAAGCCCUUAAAAUAGAGGUUCAAAUCCUCUCAUUAACU